CCUAUGGGCACAAUGCGUCUGCCUACAUUAACCAUAAUGCUCUCCUGCUUACAUCAAAUACCAGGAUGUGACGGUGACCCUGUUGUAUUCAUCCCCAUAGCCUCUUCCUGUCCCACCAGCCCGCCCUUUCCCUAUAAAAGAUGUAAUCACUUCCAGAAUAAAACGGGGCUUGAUCGGACUCCCUCGACUUGCUUCCGUCUCUCUUUGUCUCCCCUAUGUCUUUAUUUAAUCCCGUUCCUCCUCCAGGUACACCCCACGGAUUGAUCCGCAGGCCGGAUCAAGUGGCACCCAGCGGGGGGGCUCCUGGCACGGAGGAGUCAACGAGGGAGCUGUUCAAGACAGCCGGCUUAAAGUGAAAGCGAAUUGAACCAGAGACCGCGGCGAGAACUGAGCAAACUAAAUCAAGGAUUAAAGCUAAAAGCAACAGGACAUUAAAUCAAGUACCGAGGCCUGCACAGACAACUACCCAACGUCCUGCCCGAGUCAUGGUGACACAACUCCCCGGUGCCCUAUGCUGCCUACUCAGCCUGCUCCUUGAGCCGUACCACACCCAUGGUGGAUUUAGACCCCUGCCAAACAGACUAAAACUGCUGACAGCCAUGCACACAACCCCCUGUGACUGCAAAAGAUGCUCUUCUCGAUCUGGAGGAACAUAAACCAGCCAAAUAGACUGCGUCCGGUGUUAUGCGAGACAAGCUCCAAAAAAUAGAAAAACGACUUCAACAACGACAACAACAAAUGGCUGCCGACCCUUUCUCCUCAGUGUGUGUUGGGGGAGCUUUUCCCUUACCUAGUGCCCCUUUUGGGUCCCCUAGUACCCUAUUGCUUCUCCUUUCUGUGAGUCCUUGUAUUUUUCAGAAGAUUAUGACGCUCAUUAAUAACCGGAUAAACGCGUUUAUGGCAAAGCCCAUUCAGAUACACUAUCAUCAGCUGGAGAUGGCAGAUCCAACAAACCUACCAGAAAGGAAUUCCCACAAGUGGCCCAAAUGACAAUGCAGCCUAACUGCCCUGGGGCAAUGGACAGGCAGUCAGAGAUGGGCAACUAGGACAUGCAUGUUAAUUCCAACGGCCACCUAAGACAGGCACAGGACCAACUGCUGUUCUGCAAGCCCAUGAUGGGUAAGGCCUGGUUGGAUUCAUGCAGUGAGGUCCUUGACCUAAGACAGAUGCUGUCUGGCAGGGCAUGCCAUACUCCUGAUUAAAUAAGAUAGAAAGGGAGGAGAUGUAGGGAGCCGCAGACAGCCCCAUUGCUGUCUCCCCGCCUCUCUCUCUCCUAUGGGCACAAUGCGUCUGCCUACAUUAACCAUAAUCCUCUCCUGUUUACGUCACAUACCCGGAUGUGACGGUGACCCUGUCGUAUUCAUCCCCAUAGCCUCUUCCUGUCCCACCAGCCUGCCCUUUCCCUAUAAAAGAUGUAAUCACUUCCGGAAUAAAACAGAGCUUGAUCGGA